rnacentral:rRNA from 1 species
AAUGAACUCUGGCGGCAGGCCUAACACAUGCAAGUCGAGCGAGCGGCGGACGGGUGAGUAAUGUAUGGGGAUCUGCCCGAUAGAGGGGGAUAACUACUGGAAACGGUAGCUAAUCCCGCAUACUAUCGGAUGCACCCAGAUGGGAUUAGCUAGUAGGUGGGGGAAAGGCUCACCUAGGCGACGAUCUCUAGCUGGUCUGAGAGGAUGGUCAGCCACACUGGGACUGAGACACGGCCCAGACUCCUACGGUAGGCAGCAGUGGGGAAUAUUGCACAAUGGGCGCAAGCCUGAUGAAGCCAUGCCGCGUGUAUGAAGAAGGCCUUAGGGUUGUAAAGUACUUUCAGCGGGGAGGCGUUACCCGCAGAAGAAGCACCGGCUAACUCCGUGCCAGCAGCCGCGGUAAUAC